rnacentral:sRNA from 1 species
AACCCAAUGUGAACGUUACCAAACUGUUGCCUCGGCGGGAUCUCUGCCCCGGGUGCGUCGCAGCCCCGGACCAAGGCGCCCGCCGGAGGACCAACCAAAACUCUUAUUGUAUACCCCCUCGCGGGUUUUUUUAUAAUCUGAGCCUUCUCGGCGCCUCUCGUAGGCGUUUCGAAAAUGAAUCAAAACUUUCAACAACGGAUCUCUUGGUUCUGGCAUCGAUGAAGAACGCAGCGAAAUGCGAUAAGUAAUGUGAAUUGCAGAAUUCAGUGAAUCAUCGAAUCUUUGAACGCACAUUGCGCCCGCCAGUAUUCUGGCGGGCAUGCCUGUCCGAGCGUCAUUUCAACCCUCGAACCCCUCCGGGGGGUCGGCGUUGGGGAUCGGCCCUCCCUCUGCGGGUGGCCGUCUCCGAAAUACAGUGGCGGUCUCGCCGCAGCCUCUCCUGCGCAGUAGUUUGCACACUCGCAUCGGGAGCGCGGCGCGUCCACAGCCGUUAAACACCCAACUUCUGAAAUGUUGACCUCGGAUCAGGUAGGAAUACCCGCUGAACUUAAGCAUAUCAAUAAGCGGAGGAAAAGAAACCAACAGGGAUUGCCCCAGUAACGGCGAGUGAAGCGGCAACAGCUCAAAUUUGAAAUCUGGUCCCUAGGGCCCGAGUUGUAAUUUGUAGAGGAUGCUUUUGGUGAGGUGCCGCCCGAGUUCCCUGGAACGGGACGCCACAGAGGGUGAGAGCCCCGUCUGGCUGGCCGCCGAGCCUCUGUAAAGCUCCUUCGACGAGUCGAGUAGUUUGGGAAUGCUGCUCUAAAUGGGAGGUAUAUGUCUUCUAAAGCUAAAUAUUGGCCAGAGACCGAUAGCGCACAAGUAGAGUGAUCGAAAGAUGAAAAGCACCUUGAAAAGAGGGUUAAAUAGUACGUGAAAUUGUUGAAAGGGAAGCGCUUGUGACCAGACUUGGGCGCGGCGGAUCAUCCGGGGUUCUCUCCGGUGCACUUUCGCGCGUCUAGGCAGCAUCAGUCCGUCGCGGGGAAAAAGGUUCGGGAACUUGCUCCUCCGGAAUGUAUAGCCGUUGAUAUACCUGCGUGGCUGAGGCCGGCAUUGCAGGAGCU